AGACGGCAGACAUGUUGCAGCUGAUUGAAUCAUGCUGGAGUGAAACCAAGUCUUCUGUGAUACAAGAUCAGAGGAGUGAGCCAGGCCUUGAGCUGCCAAUGGAGGAUGUGAAGUCAAGCCAGGGGGCCAAGGCCACUGUCAGCUCUCUCAGUGGUUAGAAUAACCCAAUAAAUUCUGCAGGGAACUGGGCUGGGACUGGACCAGUGCUGGCAAAGAGUAUCAGUGAGAGACACUGUUGCCCUUUCUCCCAAUACAUCCCGUCUUUUUUCCCUCUGCCCCCCUCCCCUUCCCUCCCAAUCUUCUCACCCUCAUCUGGUUGAUUUUGGACAACAGCAUGCCAUCAUCAGCAGCCACCACCACCACAGGUACGGAUUCAUGGCGGCAAGGACCAGCAGGAUUCUGGGAGGGAAUUUGUGAGAUGAAGCUUUAAUGAGAGCGAGGCCUCGUCAGCCUGGAAGAAAUGUAUGCUAAUGAUAUGCACACACCAAAAGGACCCUGGGUAGGCAAGGCAAGUGCUGGCCGAGCUCCCGCUGAGCUCUGAGGAAGAUGAGCAGCUCAGGUCAGAAGAAUAGCAACAAAAACGCCUCCUCCUCCUUUUCUUCUUCCCUUUUCUUCAAUCCGCAUCCAAAAGGGCAGAGAAAAACUGGUUAACUUAAACCCUUAGAAAUGAGGUUGUGUUGCCACAUGAUGCUGCUGUUGAUGUAUUUUAGUUUCUGGAUUUCUCAUUUUUUUCCUUUUUCUUCAUCUUUGCAAGCACAUUGACAUUGUGGGUUGAAUUAGCUGGAGAUUAAACACAUCUGUGGUUUACAUCCAGACUUUCCAGAAUUUUAACUGUCAUAAAUAAUGACAGUUAAAAAUGAAAUUGUGCUCCAGAGAGAUGCAAUGUGUGUCCUCUAAUUGUGCUCAAAGUUGUCUUUAAUAAUAGAAAAAUUGAUAUUAAUUUGUUUUGAUACUUCAUUUAGAAAUUUAAACUCACCACACCCCUAGUUAAUAAUGGUGUAUGGGCAGUAUUUAAAUGAAAUGACCUGUUUUCAUUCAGGAAUAAAGUGUAUUUGUUAUUAAUUAAGGAAAGAUGCUUGUUACUGGAAAUAAUGUUGCUAAAUGCAAUUUAUAUUUAUUUCAGUGUUAUCAAGUAUGUUUCAGUUACUGAUUCACAUGCAUUUUGUUUUUAUUAUAUAUUUUAGUGCCAAACUUUUAAUUUAUCCUGAAAUUAUGCUUGAAUUAAUAAAUAAGCCAUGUAUUUUGUAGUAGCCUUUAUUAAAUAAAUGAAU